rnacentral:rRNA from 1 species
UACGUAGGGCGCAAGCGUUGUCCGGAAUUAUUGGGCGUAAAGAGCUCGUAGGUGGUUUGUUACGUCUGCUGUGAAAACCUAGGGCUUAACCCUGGGCCUGCAGUGGAUACGGGCAGGCUAGAGGUAGGUAGGGGAGAAUGGAAUUCCCGGUGUAGCGGUGAAAUGCGCAGAUAUCGGGAGGAACACCGGUGGCGAAGGCGGUUCUCUGGGCCUUACCUGACACUGAGGAGCGAAAGCGUGGGGAGCGAACAGG